UACGGGGGGGGCAAGCGUUGUCCGGAAUUAUUGGGCGUAAAGAGCUCGUAGGCGGCCUGUCGCGUCGGCUGUGAAAACCCGGGGCUCAACCCCGGGCCUGCAGUCGAUACGGGCAGGCUAGAGUCCGGUAGGGGAGACUGGAAUUCCUGGUGUAGCGGUGAAAUGCGCAGAUAUCAGGAGGAACACCGGUGGCGAAGGCGGGUCUCUGGGCCGGAACUGACGCUAAGGAGCGAAAGCGUGGGGAGCGAACAGG
rnacentral:rRNA from 1 species